UACGAAGGGGGCUAGCGUUGCUCGGAAUCACUAGGCGUAAAGCGCACGUAGGCGGACUCUUAAGUCGGUGGUGAAAUCCUGGAGCUCAACUCCAGAACUGCCUUCGAUACUGAGAGUCUCGAGUCCGGGAGAGGUGAGUGGGAACUGCGAGUGUAGAGGUGAAAAUUCGUAGAUAUUCGCAAGAACACCAGUGGCGAAGGCGCUCGC
rnacentral:rRNA from 1 species